AUAGGGAUGGGGAGCUGGGAGGAGAGUGGGACGGAGAGAGAGAGUGGGGAACGAAGAGAGGGAGAGUGCUCUGGUGGGGAAGAUGCAGGUGCGCCGCUAUCACGAACACAUUCAGACCACGAGCUGACGCAAGUUGAAAUCAUGCUUCUCUGUUUUUCUAGUUCUGUAGUCGCCGCUAAUCAUGCUGCUUUGAUUUUCCAUUGAUGUUUGCUUUGUUACUCUCAAAAAGUUUCCUUCCUUUAUUUUUUAUUUAUUUCGAUAAUGAAAUUUGAAAUUUGAAUUGUGUGUUGCUUUGUUACUCUGAAUAAAUCUUCCUUCUUUUUCUUUUUUCUUACAGGAAUUGGGUUUUGGUGUUUCACCGACGAGCUGACGCCAGAGAGAGAGGGAUGGGGUUGGUGUGGGUGCGAGUGGGGGGCUGAACAAAGGGUGCUGGGUUUGUUGGGCUGAGGAGGGGCUGGGAUUUUUUAAGAAUUCUCAGAGGUUUAAUAAUUUGCUUUUACAAAUACCAUGAUCGUUUUGGGAAAUCUCUCUUUCUGGAGGCAGAUUCCAGAGCCGUUUAAGGGAAAUUCGUAGUCGAGCUACCGAUGUUCAUGAUAAGGAAAAGGGAAUCAAGAUUACUGAGAAGGAUUGGGAAAAGUUGAAUGUACAAUUGCUUCAUACAACAAUUUUCCUACUGCUGCUGGAUUGGCUUCCUCAGCAGCUGGUUUUGCAUGUCUUGUUUUUGCCCUCGCAAAGUUAAUGAAUGCGAAUGAAGAUCACAGCCAGCUUUCUGCUCCUGUAAUCAAUCUGAGAUUUUAAUAAGCCAUCGCAAUCUGACUAAGUUUUACAGAAUACUUAACACAAUAGUAAGUGCUGAUAUCGACCCUGAAGAACGUCUCCUUGACAGUAGCUUAAUUGAUUUUGACAGAGCAAGCCUCCUUUAUGCCAUUGGGAAUAAUAAUGUG